UAAGGAAAUUUUCUUAAGCGGUCAUGAAGUCAUACCUAUGGUCUCAAAAACCUUUGCUAACUUUUCUACAACAGCAUUGUUCAGGCCUUGCCUUCUCCCUCUUCACCCCCAGAUCUCCAGUCACAAAUUACAACCACCUCAACCACAUAAUGGGACAGGCAGCAUUGUCACACUUGAAGAUUAAAAAGCUGUAUCUAUCUCCCAAAAAUAAAGAAAUUUUGACCAAGAACAACCUGGUGACUAGGUGACUGCCAGUGGGUUGGAUGAUAGGGGUGUUGCCUUUGGAGUGUUGGAUGCUUCAGCAAGAUCUCUCUGAAGCAAAGUUUGCAGGCAGCAGUCUCAAAAUCCUUAGAGAGCCAGUGUGAUCUCCAUCAUCUGCCUACAAUUUGCAAUCUGUCCUGAUCUUGAUGUAUGCCCUGCAUAGGGGAAGACGAGCUGUGAUCAUGGAGACUGGUACUGCUCUUUCCCACAGAAGUAGACAACACACUUGUGGAAUUGCCUCCCCAGAAUAAACUCUUAAGUGCUUAUUGAAUCUGGAAAAAAAUGGAAGGAGACUGGAUGACAAAAUGGAUACAGUGGGUCAUGGUUUACACUUCUUAUUUCAGGAAACUAAUUUAGACAGCUAAAUUAGGUAGCUCGUUUCCUUGUGCUGUAUCAUUAUUUAAUGGUAAAUAAGAGUAAAAUUCUUAUCCAGAAUUAUUCCCAGACUAGACUUUUGAUCUUACUACAGAUUACUCCAGUUUAUCCUUCUCUCUUCAUUUAUGGGAGAAACUUAUGGAGGCUCCCCUCCUAAAGCAGCUAAGUGAAGCUAAACAGUGAGAAUGUGCCCUUCUGCUGUACAACAUGGUCUGCUGUGCACCUUUUCUGUGGUUGAGUGCAAAUCUCUGUCCUUGGAUGUGUAUCUAUAGUCUCAACAUGAACCAAAGGAAAUGACUCACAUGUCAGCAGAUGCAACGUGAGCAUACAUUGCACAUACUGCUUUCAUGUAUGUGUGUUUUUAUUUUCUACUAAAAGUUCAU